rnacentral:misc_RNA from 1 species
AAAGAAUCACUCCUUUUCUUCCCUCCCGCCAUUGCUCGAAGCUUCUGAAGCAGCUCUCGCGAGUUCAAGUCUCUGAACUAAAGUGUUAUUCCUCUGGAGUUUCUCUGCAAUGGCUACCGAAGACGACUCCGUCGAACAAGUUGCUGCAGCACGUAAAGAGAGAUUGAGAGCUCUAAGAGCUGCUCAGGAAUUGUUAAACGCUUCAGAUGAGAAGAAUUCUGGAGGAGAGGAUAAAGAGAAUGCUACUACUGCAGAUACUGAAGAAACUAAUCUUAAUAUGAAAUUUCGGAACUAUGUUCCUCAUGAUAAGGAGCUUCAGGAGGGCAAGCUUGCCCCACCUGUAUUGCCAAAGUUUGAGGACCCUGUUACUACUGAACCUCCACAGCUAAAAGAGGACCCAUUUGUAAAUAUUGCUCCAAAGAAACCAAACUGGGACCUUAGAAGGGAUGUCCAGAAGA